GACGGGCAUGGCAGUAAUGGCGCUGAUGAAUGCCAGAAUAAACAGACGGUGGGCGACAAGACAAAGACGAAGAUGAAUGUGUCUGAAAGAACGUUCCCGAGCAGUGGCCUCACCUCCACACUGCAGCAGAGUGAAAGGUGAGUUCAGGUUUGAGAUGUUGUGGAAAGCUGCCCUCAAACACAGGAUGCAGGCAGGGUUGAAGAACUGUCCGGGCCUUGGAUUGCUGAUUGUCUCAUCUGUCUUGGCUAAGUCAGCAGGAUGUGACAGCCGCCCUCUCUCUGUUACCCGCUGACCACUGGGCUUGGCAUCCUCUCCGCUCACCUGCCCUAUCACCGCCUCCACCGUAUCUCUAUCCUCGCCUCACUCUCACCUCAAAGUCUUUGCAGCAAGAAUGAGGAUCAACGCCUUGGUGUCAAAGAGGAGAGAUCUCCUUUCUACUCACUGCUCACCACAGUCCUGAUCCCAGUCUUGAAGCGGCGACAAAAGCCGGCUCGUCAGGGAUAACAGAUGAGCGCAGAUGAACAGUGUCAGGUAAAGUGCUGUGAAAGACAUUUAAUGUGUUUUAUAUCAGUGUGUCUGAAUUGUCCAGGAACACUUGAAUCACUCAGUGUCAACCAAAUACGGCGUAAUGAGACUCGCCUCCUCUCAUCUGAAGACACAUGUCUCUCUGCUGUCACUCAGGCUAACGGAAGAAAAAAGGGCUUUUCGAGCCUUUUGAAGCACACGGGCUAUAUGAUAGCACUCCACUUUGCAUCAGGAAUUGCUCAUGCGGGAUUAUUUCAUUACGAGUCUCCCAGAGAGAGGACAGAGGUCACACUCUGGAGCUCAUUCGAACAUCUGGAGUCCAGGAACAUAAAUUAUUAAAUGAGGCAGCAAUCUGGAUUGAGACACCUAACUGUUUUUCAUGGUGCACUUGAAGGUAUUCGAUUUCCGAAGGCUGAAAAACAUUAAAUGUCUCGACAUUUUUUUCACUUUUUAUGUCUACUAAGCUUGAGCUGUUGUGAGCAGUAGAUUAGUCUUGGCCAUGAAACGCUCCCUUAAGUCCCCCUGCCUGUGGUUUUGCUGUUCUUCUUCCAAUGCUAUAACACAGCCCGGCCUGACAGCGGAAGGUCUGCUAAGGAUUUUUUUCCAAUGGGAUGUUUCUUGGUGUCUAUUUGGAAAACUCAAAGUUUCCUCCAUUGUUGCCAACAGAAACCAUUGCUACAGGCAAGGUCCAGCGGUGUCACUGACUAUAAAGGAGGAGCUGGAUGGGUGACAUUUAGUUGUUCUUACCAAGGCUGCGAUGGGGGUAAGGAGGUUGAGGGUGGGAGGAGUGUAGCCGAGGAUCCUAGCCUCCUUUCGGUUGUCACAACUGGAAAAGAAUCGACUUUGAGCGGAGAGAGAGAUCUCUAAUUAUCCCCACCUGUGCCCGGCUACAAUGGGAGGGUCGAGAUGAAGCCAUUAGCUGUCUCUCCACUGGCACCACCAAGAGUUUGUAUACAUCUGUGUCUUAUUUUCUUUUCUGGCACAAUCAGUCCAGCAAGCUAAGCAGGCAUGACCGGAUUUGGCAAGUUCCAAGGACUUUGGCAAAGUUAGACAAGGAGGAAGCGGUGAGAUGUAGAGAGGGGGAUGAGCUGGCAUGGACUCUGUGUUUGCUUUCUCCCCCGCCUGUUAACUUGAGCUGGGUGUGUUGCUUGGAGAGGCUGCUGUGUUGGUCAAAACAAUCCACGGGUUCGCUGAAGGAGACGGACGCAGAGAAAGUUGCAGAGAGCGGGGUGAAAACGUGAUUAAAUGAGGUCAACAUUACACGUGUGACUGUGGAGCUGUUUGUAUAAUUCUGGUAACAGGCAGCACAGUCUUUCCACUUUCCAGUUUAUCUCUGUUGUACUGGUGCUGUUCAAGAUUAUUGGGAUACUUAAGCUCAUCUCCCAUUUGACUCAUAGUGCUUGAUAGAAAAAGGCUCAUUGUAUUUUCAGUAUUGUCAGUUUUGAUUAGCUGAGUCAAGCCUUUGUCUGGCCAUGCAAGUGUGCAUGUUGUCAAAGCUAUUUACGAGCAAUGACCAGAUAUGAAGCCCAGACUAUUGCGGCCAUGUAAACAGCCACAUCUGUUUGAACCCACCUGCUCCCCAGUGUUUACUGGCCCUGUAAAUAAUGAAAUAAGUCCAGCAUAUUACUAUUACUGCAUAAGAAAUAUUGCAGCAGCAUGGACUUUGCAUUAAAUGACACUAUAAUUAAUCAACAUUAUGAAACAAAACAUUGCAUAAAGUAAUCCAAAAAGUGUAUGCAGCCCGCACUAUAUGGCCACGUCUACAGACCUAUUUUUUUUCACAGGUGCAGCUUUGCACAUUCAUUCAUUCAGCCUCUCAUUCAUUCAUUUCCGUCUUUAUUUAUUUAUAUAUCUCCUUGAGUGUUUGUUUUCAUUUUAGUCCCUUGAACCUUGCCACCCUGUGUGUGACACCCGGGCUAUGAGGGAAGACGGAGAGGCGGGCUGGUUCAGAAUGAUCACUAUCAUUAACAUUCACGGGGGGUUCACUUAUCAUCCCUGACUGGAGGGACAUGGCAGCCAUUAUGAGACGUCCGCAGGUGGAGCGCCAUGAUACAUAUUGCAUCUUGCCACAAUGGAUUUAUGUAUUCAGUAACAAAAGAAAAGUCUAAUGAAAAAAUACAGAAGGCAAUCCUUUAUUCCUCGCUCGACUUCAAGUGAGGCCACCAUGUCCUGCGAUGAGGAGGAGCGCGGGGGAAUUCCAGGGCUGUAUGCUGACCUGUCACUCAGGCUGCGUGCGAGGGGCACACACUCUAUACCUCACAUUAGCCCCAUUGUUUAUUGGCAACACACUGGUGCUCUUAACCCUCAGAACAAGGACAUGGAUAGACUACAGUGUUAUAUUUUUCUUAUUUUUAUUCUUUUAACAUAUUUCAUUGUUGUCUGCGUGUCCAAAGCCUGAUAUAUCUUAUUCCUCUGUGCCACAGAGUUUAUUCUUGUUGUCCACAAACUAUUUAAAAAACAUAAUCGAGCCGCAUCUUUGCACUAGGUGAAAUUGUUCCUUUAUUACCAUGAACACAAACAUUGUAGUUUAUUUUGAGGCAAUCCCGCAGAAAUGCCAUAAAUACCCGCUAGUGCGUAUUAAUCCACAGCUGAAAAUAGUCCCUGACAAAUGCACUAUUUAUCCUGUUUGAAUAAUGUUUGCUAAAAACUACAGUACCCAGCUGUUUUAGGAAUUUACUGAGCCUUUUUAAAAAAUGAAAGCAUAUUAUUUGUGACCCAUUUUUAUGAAGAUUUGCAUCUUUAGUGGGAAACAGUGGGGUGUGGGCUUAGUGGUUUUGGCGUUAGUUUUGGUCUUUUAAUGGGAUUUAUUAAAAAAUAUAAUAUAAUGCUAGCCUUAAACUUUAAGAAAAGAGUUUAUUCAUAACAUGUCCUUAAAUAAAUGUAAUUUUUUUGGUCACCAAUAAAACUUUGCAUGCCAAUAUACCCUUUUUAAAGUUUCGGAAAGAUUGUGGUUAUGGCAAAUUAACUAUUAACCUCCUAUAGGGAUACUGGGCUGGGGAAAAGCCAUCACAGCACUAUGAACAUUGUUUCAUUGACAGGUGAGCUUUGGAAACUGAGGAAACUGGAAACCUUUACUUUAAUAUUGGAGAAUAAUCACUUAUACACAGCAUAAGGAAGCGCAUACUUUGAUUCCAAACUAAAAUAAACGACAAUAAACAUGAGCUAUUCCCUGACAGAUCUCCUUAUGUGAUUAAAGACACAAUUUCUAUUCUGAAAUUUCCUUGAGUAGAAGGGCUCCCAGACCAGUAAUAACCUAAUUGGAGAGAAGCCUCUAACUAGUGUUGCUCCUCUGUGUCCCUGUGUAUAAAUAGAGUCUAUAAUGGACUGAGGUGUGAUGCCAUCAUUCAUCUCUGCUCAGAAACACUCCAGGUUCAGGUCUAUGCUCAUUUUCCUAAUGAUGCUCUUGUUUUAGGUAUGUUUUCACUUUAAGGUUUCUAAGAUUCCAGCUUAAUGGAUACUAUUCAUCACAGGCUUCUGUACCCAAGUCCAGUUUACCCAGCAAACUUAUUUGACAUAACAAAUUGCCAAAAUGAAAGGCUUUUCAGCCAGGGAAUUGGUAUAUUUUUCAAACCAAUAAGUAAAUGUGUGGGGGAAAAGAGCACAUCCCAGUCUCGGAGGUCAGUCUCCAUUUCCUGUUUACUGUGAGUGUUUUCUCUCCUGUGGUUCCAUGAUGAUUGCAUCACUGACAAAUGAAUCUAUUGUUUGCUAAUUUACUUAACAUGCCUAUGUAAAGUGCUUUUUAAUUUUAAAUGUUAAUUGACUAAAAGAGGCUUUCAGUGCCAAAUUCCACUGGCACCGAAUAAUGGGAGGUCUCCUAAAAAAAUUAUGUCUUCUGGGAGGCAUAUCCCAUAUGAUAGCCCCCGGUUAUGCCAUGUCUUUAUGUGGUAGAUUACUCCCUGGCCCUAGCCCAAAAAAGCCUGCUUUUUAACCACUGCUUCUCCCAUUUGCCUCAGGAUGCUCAUGGGCUGGCAGGUUGCACAACACAUUACCAUCCUGCAGCAGCUCUUAAAACACAUUUUAGCCCUGAAACACAGCUGGCAUCUUGGCCAGCACUGCUGCGUUGGGCACGGAAGAACCAAACGUGGAUGUUAGAGAGAAAUUAAAAUGGAACCCAGUUGGAAUAAUGAGAGUGGAUCUAUGUUGCGGUGUAGGUGCACUUUUCAUUUCCAACACAUCUCCUGUUUGAACCAACAACUCUUUGCAAGG